UUACUUUGAGAAAAAAGACUAGCUAAGUGCGUACUUUAGCGAGACAGAGAUUAGCAUGGCCCCUGCACAAUGAUGACAUGCAAAAUCGUGAAGUGUUCCAUAUUUUA
rnacentral:snRNA from 1 species